AAACACUGUUCAGAACUGUUAGAGGCAUGAUGUACUACCGACGGGCUUUGAAGCUUCAAGCCUUCCUUGACAUGGCUGAUGAAAGUGAAAUUUUGGAAGGCUACAAGGCAGUCUCAAUUCCAUCAGAGGAAGAGAAAAGGAGCCAGAGGUCCCUCUUUGCUCAACUAGAAGCUAUUGCUGACAUG